CCUACGGGAGGCAGCAGUGGGGAAUAUUGCGCAAUGGGCGAAAGCCUGACGCAGCGACGCCGCGUGAGGGAUGAAGGUCGUCGGAGCGUAAAGCACUGUCAGCAGGGAAGAAGGGUCAGGGGGCUAAACAGCAGUGAAUUGACGGUACCGGCAAAGGAAGCACCGGCUACCUCCGGGCCAGCAGCCGCGGUAAUACGGAGGGUGCGAGCGUUAAUCGGAAUUACUGGGCGGAAAGCGCUCGGAGGCGGUCUGUCAAGUCAUGGGUGAAAUCCCCGCGCUCAACCUGGGAACUGCCUCUGAUACUGGCAGGCUUGAGUCUCUUAGAGGGUAGUGGAAUUCCAGGUGUAGCCGU
rnacentral:rRNA from 1 species